GUUAGGAAUAUUGGACAAUGGACGCAAGUCUGAUCCAGCCAUGCCGCGUGAGUGAUGAAGGCCUUCGGGUUGUAAAGCUCUUUAGCCGAUGAUUAUAAUGACUGUAGUCGGAAAAUAAGCCCCGGCUAACUUCGUGCCAGCAGCCGCGGUAAUACGAAGGGGGCGAGCGUUAUUCGGAAUCACUGGGCGUAAAGCGUGCGUAGGCGGUUUUGUAAGUUGGGAGUGAAAGCCCAGGGCUCAACCCUGGAAUUGCUCUCAAAACUACAAGACUUGAAUUCGGGAGAGGAUAGCGGAAUUGUCAGUGUAGCAGUGAAAUGCGUAGAUAUUGACAGGAACACCAGUGGCGUAAGCGGCUAUCUGGACCGACAUUGACGCUGAGGCACGAAAGCGUGGGGAUCAAACAGGAUUAGAAACCCGUGUGUCC
rnacentral:rRNA from 1 species